rnacentral:ncRNA from 2 species
AAAGCCGUAUGCGACUGGCGAAAAGAGUGGAUAACCACAAGGGAGCAUGCGGUCGGAAUCUUGCCGUUCGCCUGGGUAAAAGUA